rnacentral:rRNA from 1 species
AUGGGGAGCGAACGAAAAAGAUGUGUGGCUGAGGUGUUGGGAGCCCCCAAUAGAGAAGGACGAUGCGGAAAGGUAUGGUGGGAAUACAAACAGGCCUGGACAGAAGAAGUAGACGAAAGACCUCCAGGCUGUGUCGUCAUUCUCAAUCCUGAAAAGAGAGCGCACAUCCUGAGGAAGGCGCGUCAUGCAAAGGUUCCCAUUUUUUCCUUAGUUGACCCCGUGUUUCUAUCGGAUCCUAAGCUUCAUCGAGACAAGCGCAUAAACCAUCCCAUCCCGGUAGAGGGGACAGAGCAGCUCAGCGGGCUAAUCAGUGACCUCAUCUACCCAAAGACUUUAUUUCUGCUGUACUUUCUUAAGCAAUAG